rnacentral:rRNA from 1 species
AGCAUAUCAAUAAGCGGAGGAAAAGAAACUAACAAGGAUUCCCCUAGUAACUGCGAGUGAAGCGGGAAAAGCUCAAAUUUAAAAUCUGGCAGUCUCUGAUUGUCUGAGUUGUAAUUUAGAGAAGUGUUACCCGUGCUGGACCGUGUAUAAGUCUUCUGGAAUGGAGCGUCAUAGAGGGUGAGAAUCCCGUCUUUAACAUGGACUACCAGUGCAUUGUGGUAUGCUCUCAACGAGUCGAGUUGUUUGGGAAUGCAGCUCAAAAUGGGUGGUAAAUUCCAUCUAAAGCUAAAUACAGACGAGAGACCGAUAGCGAACAAGUACCGUGAGGGAAAGAUGAAAAGAACUUUGGAAAGAGAGUUAAACAGUACGUGAAAUUGCUGAAAGGGAAACGCUUGAAGUUAGUCACAUUGGCUUGAGAUCAACCUGGCAUUGCUUGGUGUAUUCUCUUGUUAAUGGGUCAACAUCAGUUUUGACUACUGGAUAAGAGUUGGAGGAAUGUGGCUCCUUUAGGAGUGUUAUAGCCUUUAGCUGUAUACAGUGGUUGGGACUGAGGAUCUCAGCACGCCUUUAUGGCCGGGUUUUGACCACGUACGUGCUUAGGAUGUUGGCAUAAUAGCUUUAAGCGACCCGUCU